rnacentral:rRNA from 1 species
UACGUAGGGAGCAAGCGUUGUCCGGAAUCAUUGGGCGUAAAGCGCGCGUAGAUGGCCUCAUAAGUCCGCUGUGAAAGUCAAAGGCUCAACCUUUGAAAGCCGGUGGAUACUGUGGGGCUAGAGUCCGGAAGAGGCGAGUGGAAUUCCUGGUGUAGCGGUGGAAUGCGCAGAUAUCAGGAGGAACACCGAUAGCGAAGGCAGCUCGCUGGGACGGUACUGACGCUAAGGCGCGAAAGCGUGGGGAGCGAACAGG